CAGUGCAGUGUUUCAGAAGAGAGAAAAACAUGGCAGGCAUGAACUGGCUGUCUGUUGUUGGUAAAGCUGUGCUGAGAACUGGACUGACUAUUGCAGCUGAAAAUGUGUGCCAAGUCUGCAGACACAGAGGAAUAACUUUUCCCUGCAGGUGGAGCUUGUCUAAGACCUGCUGGUUGGGACAAUGAAAAGAAAAUUGCCAUUUUACAUGAAAACUUCACAAGAGUGAAACCAGACGAUGCGUAUGAGGACUUCAUUGCAAAGCCUUGUGUACGAAAGUUAUUCCAUACUGAAUUGGUGACAGCAGAAGAUGACCAAGAGUUUCUUAAGAGACUGCAGGAAUCUCCUGCGGGAGGAGGACCUGCAGGAUCCCCAAGAAUUCAGGGUGGAGCCGAUCCCGCCAAUGUAGCUAGUGCCUCACCAAUAGCAUCAGUUAAGAAACCAGUUCCAAAUACUAAAACCAUGAAUUAGCAUCUUAAUGUUUUUUUGACAUGUUGUUUCCCUUAGAAAAAAACAUUCCUAAAAAAGAAAGAUGUUGGAAUUUAUUCACUAGUAGUGAAGUGUUAGUUUAGUAACAAGAAUGAAUUUAUGGCAUCAACCCAGUUUUUGUUGUUUGAUGUUGUCAUUCAUGUGACUUGAAGUAGUGUUCUGUUACUGCCAAGCAGUUAGGCAGAGUUGAAAUAAAUUAAUUCUUUACGUUGCCUAAGUAUGUUUUUUAUGCGUUAGUUGCAUUGUUAUAGUGGAGACUGGUUUAAAGUCCACACAGUUUUAUACUUAAUAUAAUUUAUUCUGGAAUCCCUAGUUAAACUUGUACUUCUUCUAAAUCCUUUCAAGACUGUAAUUUUCUCUUGCACCUCAAAUAACUUGGAAAUUACACCUCUUCCCCUCCUUCAACCCAAAGAUGUAUCUCCACAUUGACUGAUUUGUUUCUUCCCAAAAUGGAACUCCACAUUAUUGCAUGGUUUCUGUCCUCUCUAUAUACUAAGAAAGUAGGUAGGACAUUCUUCUUAAAAAUAUUCUUAAUUAUUCAUUUAAGGAACAUAAUUCACUUACGAUGGGUAAAGUAUUCCUACCAUUCUAGACAAUGUCUCAUUGCUAGAUAGCCAAGUUCUGAUAUAUGCAAAGUAGUGUGGUAAGAAAGACUGCUCUAGAACUUCUAUGCUGCUUUUUUUUUAGUAGACUUAGAAAUCUUUACGUUGCAUGUAGAUAAUACUACUUUUAGGGGGAAAAAAAAUGCAUUCUGCUCAGAAGAGCAUUAAUGUGCAGUUAUCUCUGACUUUGCCAAAGAAUGCAAAGAACUUGUGUCUUAAAAUCGAACAAGGCAGAAGACUGGAAGUGAGGAUGGAAUAAGAAGUAGGAUCAUUUCUAUAAAUAAGAAGCAGUACAUAGCCAAUCGUACUCUAGGAGUGAUUAAGGUAUAAUGGGGGUAGGAUUCCUGAAGCCCGGUUAGUAAUUUAAUCUCAGAGUUUGGUUGCAGGUAACGUCUUUAUUGGCUGUUUUCUAGAGUUUCUGCUCACAUGAGCAGGUCACAGAUCGCUGACAUGCUGGUUCACAGAGCUAUUAUAAUAGUUCAGGGCAACUACAGGGAAAUAUGAAACUUCAAAACUUAAAAACAAAGUAAAGUUUGUAAGAAAUAGAGCAUUUCUGUGUGAAAGCUUUCUUUUUUUGUUUUCCACCAGUAUAGAUUGGGUUUUCUUCCUAGGCCACAUCUUCCAAUAGUUAUUGUGUACUCCACAGGUAUCUCUUCAGGUGACAGCAAGUUCAGACCUAACCUAAAGAGAAGACAUGAUGCAUUGUCACUGCAUCAGUGGACAAGGGAAGAGCCACUGAUAUCACCUAUCUUGACUUCAGUAAGGCCUUUGGCAUGGUAGCCCACAACGUCCUUCUCUCCAAAUUGGAAAGAUACAGAUUUGAUAGGUGGACUGUUGGAUGGAUGAAGAACUGGCUGUAGGGUCAAGUCCAGAGGAUGAUGGUCAGUGGCUCAACGUCUGGAUGGAGAAUGGUGAUGAGUGGUGUCCCCCAGGGAUUGAUGCUGGUGCCAAUACUCUUUAAUAUCUUCAUCAGUGACAUUGACAGUGGGGUCAAGCGCACCCUCAGCAAGUUUGUAGAUGACACCAAGCUGUGGGGUGCGGUCGACACACCAGAAGAAUGGGGUGCCAUCCAG